CUUGCUGCCAAUGUCGAAGGGAUCUUUCAAAUAACAAUCUGACAGGGGAUAUUCCAGUUAAUGGAUCUUUUUCGCUUUUUACUCCCAUCAGUAAGAGGGAGGAGAGGGUAAUAUAGCUUGAUCAAGUUGGUGUUGUAGUUGUUGUAUGGGAUGCAGGUUUCACUCAUCUACUGUCUUUGCAGCUGAG